CAGCUUUGUUCUAUGGUGGGUUGUUUGUGACGUUUUGCCUUGCUUUGAACCAGGAGCAGUGGUGUUCACUAGCCAGGGGCCGAAACCCCUGAAACCGUCAGCCAAAAUGAAUCCUUCCUUUAUUCCUCUCAGAGGAAUGGCUGACAGGGAGAGCUGUCUCUAGUUUGUUCAAAGGACAUCCAUGUUGCCUAACAUGACAUUCAUCCCUGUUCGGGGUUUGUUAAAUGAAGAGAAGCUGCCUGAGACUGUAGCCCAGGCAGUCACGUGACCCAUAGGUCCCUGCGCUCCCAUCGCUUCUGUUCUGUCCAGGUUCCUGCCCUGACUGCUCUCAGUGAUGGAGUGAGACCUAAGAUUUGGAACCCGAAGUAAACCCUCAGCUCGCCAAGUUGCUCAUGGUUUUCAUCUCAGCCACAGGGACACAUGGAUGGACUGUAUCCCUCUGCGACUGUGAGCCAAAAGAAAAAUCUCUCGAGCUGCCUUUAUCAGGGUAUUUUAUCCCAGAAACAGAAAGGAAACAGACACAUCUGGAUGUUUUAUUUUGAUUUUAUCCCAUGAGUUCUGGGAGAUAGAACUGAAGCAAGUAUUUUAUACCAACUGAGCUAUAUCCCCAGCCCUACAAGUUAAAUUCUCUAACUGCCUGAUUCACCUCAAAGACAUAAUGAUGAUCUCUGGUUUGGAUCUCAAGACCUGUGAGCAGAGGGAGAGAGAUGGGGCUUUAGCCAAACACCUCACCUGACCAUGGAAGAGACAUGAGGUUUUCCUAUACAUCAUCUAACUGAACUCUCCCAGGUUAGGUCCACCACAGAGAUGUGUGUCACCUUCUUCUAUGGAUCUAGAAAUGGACAUGUAAUGAGAUGGAUUGAGCUCCAGCUUGUGGGUUUCUUUUAUUGAGAAUCCCCUGAAGGCAGAGUGAGUGUUAACAUUUUGU